rnacentral:ncRNA from 1 species
ACUUUACACUCUAGCCUCUGCGCCUAAGUCUGCUGAUACGGUGCUUUGGCCGUGGCGAUACGCUGUAUCCGCCGCCAGGGUGCGGAAAGAAAUGACCGCACCUCCCGUAUCUGGAAAGGUGUACAUGGCCACA